GUCCAGACUCCUACGGGAGGCAGCAGUGGGGAAUAUUGCACAAUGGGGGAAACCCUGAUGCAGCGACGCCGCGUGAGCGAUGAAGUAUUUCGGUAUGUAAAGCUCUAUCAGCAGGGAAGAAAAUGACGGUACCUGACUAAGAAGCCCCGGCUAACUACGUGCCAGCAGCCGCGGUAAUACGUAGGGGGCAAGCGUUAUCCGGAUUUACUGGGUGUAAAGGGAGCGUAGACGGCGAUGCAAGCCAGAUGUGAAAGCCCGGGGCUCAACCCCGGGACUGCAUUUGGAACUGUGUGGCUGGAGUGUCGGAGAGGCAGGCGGAAUUCCUAGUGUAGCGGUGAAAUGCGUAGAUAUUAGGAGGAACACCAGUGGCGAAGGCGGCCUGCUGGACGAUGACUGACGUUGAGGCUCGAAAGCGUGGGGAGCAAACAGGAUUAGAUACCCCUGUACA
rnacentral:rRNA from 1 species